UACAGAGGUCUCGAGCGUUAGGCGGAAUCACUGGGCUUAAAGCGUGUGUAGGUGGAUGCCUAAGUACCUUGUGAAAUCCCACGGCUUAACCGUGGAACUGCUUGGUAUACUGGCGGUCUUGAGCCAGCUAGGGGCUACCGGAACAAAUGGUGGAGCGGUGAAAUGCGUAGAUAUCAUUUGGAACGCCAAUGGUGAAAACAGGUAGCUGGGGCUGUGCUGACGCUGAGACACGAAAGCCAGGGGAGCAAACGGG
rnacentral:rRNA from 1 species